rnacentral:rRNA from 1 species
GGACCAGACUCCUACGGGAGGCAGCAGUGGGGGAUAUUGCACAAUGGGGGGAACCCUGAUGCAGCGACGCCGCGUGGGUGAAGGAGUGCUUCGGCAUGUAAAGCCCUGUCGGCAGGGAAGAAGCAAGACGGUACCUGACUAAGAAGCCCCGGCUAACUACGUGCCAGCAGCCGCGGUAAUACGUAGGGGGCGAGCGUUAUCCGGAUUCACUGGGUGUAAAGGGAGCGUAGACGGCCAUGCAAGCCAGGGGUGAAAGCCCGGGGCCCAACCCCGGGACUGCCCUUGGAACUGCAUGGCUGGAGUGCGGGAGGGGCAGGCGGAAUUCCUGGUGUAGCGGUGAAAUGCGUAGAUAUCAGGAGGAACACCGGCGGCGAAGGCGGCCUGCUGGACCGCGACUGACGUUGAGGCUCGAAAGCGUGGGGAGCAAACAGGAUUAGAUACCCGGGUACU